CCAACAGGGAUUGCCUUAGUAACGGCGAGUGAAGCGGCAAAAGCUCAAAUUUGAAAUCGGCCUCCAGGUCGAGUUGUAAUUUGUAGAUUGUAUCUUGAGAGCGGAUUAAAGUCUGUUGGAACACAGCGCCUUAGAGGGUGACAGCCCCGUAAAAUCUAUUCUCAUUGUAAGAUACUUUCGAAGAGUCGAGUUGUUUGGGAAUGCAGCUCUAAGUGGGAGGUAAAUUCCUUCUAAAGCUAAAUAUUGACGAGAGACCGAUAGCGAACAAGUACUGUGAAGGAAAGAUGAAAAGCACUUUGAAAAGAGAGUGAAAAAGUACGUGAAAUUGUUAAAAGGGAAGGGUAUUGAAUCAGACUUGGUGCUGUUGUUCAACUGUGUUUCGGCAUAGUGUACUCAGCAGUACUAGGCCAAGGUGGGGUGUUUGGGAGUGAAAAAGAAGUAGGAACGUAACUCUUCGGAGUGUUAUAGCCUACUUUCAUAGCUCCUCAGGCGCCUCAGGACUGCGCUUCGGCAAGGACCUUGGCAUAAUGAUUCUAUACCGCCCGUCUUGAAAAACUGACAAAAAAAA
rnacentral:rRNA from 1 species